AACUUGAAUCACACCUGGUUGUUCUGCAACAUCCAAAUCCCCAAAAGCAUAUAAGAAAAACAGAACAAAGACAAAAAAAAAAAACAUUGAUCAAGUUGAAAACUUUAUCCUGUUUUUCCUAAGCCUACAUACACAAAAUCGUGCAUUCAUGACUAUAUGAUUCUAUUUCUACAGGUUCACAUGCGCCUAUCUUAACCUGACAGAAACAUUCAAACAUCACAAAUCAUGGAACAGUUUAUGAACUUGGACUAAAAAUGGAAUUUACUUCAACCUUGGUGACAAUUGGAUCUUUCAUUGUUUCAGUGGAAUCGAUGAUCACAAGUUCAAAACCAGAUAAGCACUUAAACCAAUUAAACUAAAUCAAACAAAGAAGCUACUAGAGACUUAUGCAUUCAACGGGUUCUAUGCUCUCCAAGUUACAAGUGCAGGAUCAAACGAGAAAUCUAAUGGAAAAAAAAACGUACUUGAUAUCUCAGCGACUUGCUCA